CAGCCAAGCAGUGUAACUGCAGCGCCACCUGCUGGAAAGAGAGAGAGAGAGAAAGAGAGCGUUGCGCAAGAGAGGAGCGUUCGGAGAAGUUGUAAACACAAACCAGCGAGGACAAAAGGAAAACAAGACGAAACAAGUAUGUUUUGGGGAAACUUUAUUUUUCAAUUUUUGAAAUUGGGUUUACCUGCUGUCUGCAAUGCUGGAAACUGCUUUGUUCACGUUUUGAACAACGAUUUGGCCAGGUUUCAGUUGUGAGAAUGACUUGGUGUUUGCACACCCAGAGUUGGUGAAUGAAGAUGCAAACCACCCAUUGGAAACAUUACGUUGGACUGGCUUCUACAAGACUGACCUGCACUCCCAAGAUAAGGACAGUGAUUCGCCUGAAUCAUGCUACCCCUCAGUGGCUGAAGCACCCGUUCCUCAGCUCUCCCCAAAGUCCCCACCUGUGAGGUACACUACCAACAUCUUCCCUGCCUACCUGCUGCCAAAGACUCCCAGGCUCCUCAUUCCAGCACAUCUCUCAGCACUGACUCUCUUAUCCUCCUCUAUACUCUGCCAGAAAAGCACCUGAGGGCCUGCACUCCUGCACAGAGUUGAAAGACGCCUACUUUAAAUAGGUGCAGGAGUGUGCAAAGACAGAUUCAGUGAUUCCUGGUCCUUGUCAUCACUCCAAUGCCCCAUUUCCCCAGGCUGAAUAGCACAGGAAGCAUAGUGCAGGAGACAUUCUGUGACAAGUAACAGGUAAAGGAGAGGAAAAGGAGGGAAGAAGAAUAGGCUUUAAUGUAGUAAUUGAAUAUUUUGAUUCAUAAUCCUCUCCUGACUUUUAUUGCUGUCCACAAGUGUUUUGACCAUAGCUCCAUAUCAAAUGCCAGUGACCUUGACUGUGGUAAAGUGACUCUGCAGAGGAGAAUGCAUAGUGUUUAUUCAAGGAGGAGAAUUUCACAUUUUGCCCAAAUUGACUCUGUAUAGAGAAAAGCCCAGCAGGCCAUGUAAAUAUCAAAAAAGGUUUAAUAAAACCAUGAGGGAUGACAGUUUCCAAAGUACAUAUUAUCUAUGGAGAGGUCACAGUGGGAAAGCGGCCCGCCAUCCCUCUGCAUUGCUUUUGGUGGCCAGAAAGUCAUGAGCGAUCGUUGGAAUUUUUUGGUCAGAGCUUCGUGUUUGAGCCCAAGCCUUCCUGACAACCCCUUCCUCACUGUGUCAUCCCCCCAUGCACACACAGUGACACAGACACAUGCACACACAAUUACACGUGAACACACAAGCACACACGCGCACACUCUGCCAUCCAGCUCAGUGGCUUGGAGCUCUUGCAAAGUUCCUAAAUCCGCCUCCUGCAUUCUGGGUUGGUGGGAGCGGACUUCCUGAAAACAAUGGAAUGGACUAAUCUGUGGAUUUGCCAGUGGAUUUGAUAAAGGCCUAUGUUCUAAGCCAAAGUUUCUCUGACCUCUUGUUAAAAACGUCUCAUCCUCUCCCUGCCCAUCCCUCCCACCCUUGUUCUUUUUAUGAAUAGGGUGAGAGUGGAUUACCAGAGGUGCUGUGUCUCUAAUUAAAAUCUUCACUCUGUUGCA